UACUCGGUAGGGAUUGCGGUGUGCUUC
rnacentral:piRNA from 1 species